rnacentral:lncRNA from 1 species
GUGCUGGCAAACAAGUUUUUUAACUAGCCUGCUCAGCCUUUAAAAGAAAAAAGCACAUUGAUUUCAAACAACAGCCCACCACUGAAAAGUGUGCAAGACAUCGCAGAGCUGAGCAGGCACCCGAGCGAUGGCUGGUUUAUACCUUAGUUGAGGCAUAGCAGUCACUUAGUUGAGCCAGCCCAUCAGCUCUGGAUAGGAAAUGAGAAAGAUCAGUGUAACUAAAGCUGCAAGGAAGCUGCAAGCAGGCACAGUGUAACUUCACUUUGAAGAGAAUAAGAGAAGAUUCACUCUCUUCCUACUGCAAGUGCCCACGUAUCCUCUGAUGACCACGUGAGUGCAGGACCAAGCUGAA